GCAUGGGUGGUUUAGUGGUAGAAUUCUCAUGUGACACCUGGGAAGCCUGGGUUUGAUUCUCUGCCCCAUGCA
rnacentral:tRNA from 1 species